rnacentral:rRNA from 1 species
CCUACGGGAGGCAGCAGUGGGGAAUCUUGCGCAAUGGGCGAAAGCCUGACGCAGCAACGCCGCGUGCGGGAAGAAGGCUUUCGGGCUGUAAACCGCUUUCAGCAGGAACGAAAAUGACGGUACCUGCAGAAGAAGGAGCGGCCAACUAUGUGCCAGCAGCCGCGGUGAUACAUAGGCUUCAAGCGUUGUCCGGAUUUAUUGGGCGUAAAGAGUUCGUAGGCGGUCGAGUAAGUCGGGUGUGAAAAUUCUGGGCUCAACCCAGAGACGCCACCCGAUACUGCUUAACUUGAGUUCGAUAGGGGAGUGGGGAAUUCCUAGUGUAGCGGUGAAAUGCGCAGAUAUUAGGAGGAACACCGGUGGCGAAGGCGCCACUCUGGAUCGAUACUGACGCUGAGGAACGAAAGCAUGGGUAGCAAACAGGAUUAGAUACCCUGGUAGUCCAUGCCGUAAACGGUGGGCACUAGGUGUGGGAUUCUAUUAACGAAUUCCGCGCCGUCGCUAACGCAUUAAGUGCCCCGCCUGGGGAGUACGGUCGCAAGACUAAAACUUAAGGAAUUGACGG